UUUUGUCGGCACGCUAUCGGGGGAAGUCUCCGCCCGGACAUUCUUUAAGGCAACGCCACAAAAAAGAUGGCGCUGUGUCUAAGCAUUUCAGGUAGACGUUGUUAGCUGCUGGGCAAUGCGGUUGUUCACUUUCAGUAUACCGGUAACCGUUGCUUGCUGUUGGACCACAGGGUCUCUUCAUGCUUAAAACUUUAAGCAAACGAAACGGAGCUACAACGCCGAAUGUGCACUGGCUUCUUGGCGGAGACAGGUUUGUCUAAGACGGCUUGCUCAUUGAGCUUCAACACCGCUAGGUUUACUGGGAUUCUUCAACCAGGGAAAUAACAUAAAUAACAUUAUCCAUGUUAUUUUAUGUUAUUCAGCAACACGCCGGCAGGAGAGGCAAACACUCGGCGGUGGGCCCGGCGUGUCGAACCCGGGGCUGGAGAAGCGGGCUUCGCAGCACGGCGUCGGUCUGAGAGGCUCAGACCGCGUGCGGAGGGCUCGAGGGAAGCGUGCAGCAGGUCGUGUUAAGAAAGAAGUCUGCGUAUGGGUGAUGGGCGGAGUCUGCAUCCGCGCGAGGGGCGAGCGGAUGAGAGCUGGCCGUCCGAGGCGGCGUUGGGAUGAGUCUCAGCUCGACAGAAACAUGAGUGGGGUUCGGUACGGCGCAGAAACCAUGGCGAUGGCAGGAGCAGUGCAGAGGAAAGCAGAGCCUCGCCUGAUUGGCUGCGCGGACCUUUCCUGCUCGCUGAUGCGGUGAGACAGCAGGACUUAUGGAUGUGCUUUUGCAGCGUGUGCUUGUGCAGGGUGCUCAGUGAGAACUGGUCUGGGCGCUGGGAAGACUGUUACACACCUGCCCCCUAAUGCCCUGUACAGCAAAAUAACCCCCCCCCCCCCCCCAGUGCGCAACCAAAUUUAUAUUUCCAACUUUCCCCAUUUCUCCUAGGACAACAGAGAUCAGUAGAGGAUUUAAGCGUGGGAUUGUGUGUCUUCUCCCAUCCUGUACAGUCGAACCCAAGCUCACACUAGCAGUGAAGGACCUCAGUCUUUCCGCCCUGGAUCAGAUCUCACCCAGCGGCCCUUGUGCUGUGUCAGGAAGAAUAUGACUGAAUCCUGCAGGGCUUCACACAGGCAGGAGUGGAAGACUCAAGAUGGCUGAUUCCUACACACAGCCAGGAGAGGAAGACCCAGUGUGGCUGAUUCCUACACACAGCCAGGAGAGGAAGACCCAGUGUGGCUGAUUCCUACACACAGCCAGGAGAGGAAGACCCAGUGUGGCUGAUUCCUACACUGCUUUACACACCAGCCUCAGGGCCAGGUGCAGUUACUCGUUUAUCAAUUCAUUCAUACGCUU